UAAUAGCAGAUCAACACUUUUGAUGGGUGAA
rnacentral:piRNA from 1 species